rnacentral:rRNA from 1 species
UACGUAGGGUGCAAGCGUUGUCCGGAAUUAUUGGGCGUAAAGGGCUCGUAGGCGGUCCAUCGCGUCGGGGAGUGAAAAGCUGGGGCUUAACCCCAGUCCUGCUUCCGAUACGGGUGGACUAGAGGUAGGUAGGGGAGAACGGAAUCCUGGUGUAGCGGUGAAAUGCGCAGAUAUCAGGAGGAACACCGGUGGCGAAGGCGGUUCUCUGGGCCUUACCUGACGCUGAGGAGCGAAAGCAUGGGGGAGCAAACAGG